rnacentral:rRNA from 1 species
CUACGUGCCAGCAGCCGCGGUAAUACGUAGGGUGCGAGCGUUAAUCGGAAUUACUGGGCGUAAAGCGAGCGCAGACGGUUACUUAAGCAGGAUGUGAAAUCCCCGGGCUCAACCUGGGAACUGCGUUCUGAACUGGGUGACUAGAGUGUGUCAGAGGGAGGUAGAAUUCCACGUGUAGCAGUGAAAUGCGUAGAGAUGUGGAGGAAUACCGAUGGCGAAGGCAGCCUCCUGGGAUAACACUGACGUUCAUGCUCGAAAGCGUGGGUAGCAAACAGGAUUAGAUACCCUGGUAGUCCACGCUGUAAACGAUGUCGAUUUGGGGGUUGAACUUUAAGUUUGGCGCCCGUAGCUAACGUGAUAAAUCGACCGCCUGGGGAGUACGGCCGCAAGGUUAAAACUCAAAUGAAUUGACGGGGGCCCGCACAAGCGGUGGAGCACGUGGUUUAAUUCGAUGAUACGCGAGGAACCUUACCAAGGUUUAA